rnacentral:rRNA from 1 species
UGGGGGAUAUUGCACAAUGGGCGAAAGCCUGAUGCAGCGACGCCGCGUGGGGGAUGAAGGCCUUCGGGUUGUAAACUUCUUUUGCUCUGAACAAGGCAUGCUAAUGGGUGUGUUGAGUGUAGGGGUUGAUUAGCGCCGGCUAACUACGUGCCAGCAGCCGCGGUAAUACGUAGGGCGCGAGCGUUGUCCGGAAUUAUUGGGCGUAAAGGGCUUGUAGGUGGCUGGUUGCGUCUGUCGUGAAAGCUCAUGGCUUAACUGUGGGUUUGCGGUGGGUACGGGCUGGCUUGAGUGCAGUAGGGGAGGCUGGAAUUUCUGGUGUAGCGGUGGAAUGCGCAGAUAUCAGGAGGAAUACCGGUGGCGAAGGCGGGUCUCUGGGCUGUUACUGACACUGAGGAGCGAAAGCAUGGGGAGCGAACAGG